rnacentral:lncRNA from 1 species
AAAAUGCCCUGGGCCAAAACUCUCUGUGGGAAACAAGCUUCUAGAAUCACUAGGUUCUGACCAUUAUGGAAUAUUCUUCUACAACUGAGAAAGUGAAGCUGCUGAAUGCAGUCUUUCCCUUAUUGGCACAACAUCAAUCUAAAGUCGCAUUCUUCUAGGGGCCCGAUGGGAGCUGGAGACACAGGCAUGCCAUCAAGGAUAGAACUGUAGAGUCCAAGAGACAAGCUAAUGACAUGAUAGAGCCCAUGCCUUCUUUAGUCACUGUACCGGAGAGGUGAAAUUAAAGGUGAGGUUACCUUUUAGCAGUAUCUCUCCUCUACAUACAAACCUGUUCAGGC